CAGAGUUGCAAAACUCCCCAAACCAUCGCUGAAUCUUACCUCUAACCGUUGCCUCGGCGCUGGCGGUCCGGAGGCCACAGCGCCCCCCCUCGGGCUCCCCUCAGCGGGAGGCUGCCCGCCGGAGUGCCGAUACCCAAACUCUUGAUAUUGUAUGGCCUCUCUGAGUACUUUGUACUGAAUAAGUCA
rnacentral:misc_RNA from 1 species